rnacentral:rRNA from 1 species
UACGUAGGGGCGAGCGUUGUCCGGAUUUACUGGGCGUAAAGGGUGAGUAGGCGGUUAUAUAUGUCAGGUGUAAAAAGCUAUGGCUUAACCAUAGUAAGCACUUGAAACUGUAUGACUUGAGUGCAGGAGAGGUAAGCGGAAUUCCUAGUGUAGCGGUGAAAUGCGUAGAUAUUAGGAGGAACACCGGUGGCGAAGGCGGCUUACUGGACUGUAACUGACGCUGAGGCACGAAAGCGUGGGGAGCAAACAGGAUUAGAUACCCGGGUAGUCCCUGAG